AAAAAUCACGUCGUGCUUAUGCGUCGCGCAGCUCUUAUUCAUCGCAAGGCCUGAAUGGGCGAGAAGAAACUUGUUUCGAUGCCUGCACUUGGAUAUCAUUUCACUUUUUUUGUUAAUUAGAUUUUUAUUUUUGGAAAACAGAAUUUGAUAUUUUUCAUUUAUACACAGUUUGCAAGACUUCAUGGUUGGGUUAAUGGUAAAAGAUUUUAUAUGGUUGGCAUAUCUAAUUUUGAAUGGUGUUUCGCUUAUACCGAUGUAUAGUUUGUUGACAGGAGUGGUAGUAGGAUUAGUUGAACUUAUUUUAGCUUGGUAUACAAUGUUUUUUGUUAAGCAUUGGUUUGAUAGAGGGCAGGUGCUUUUAUUAAGGCAGUUGCAAUUGGUUUUAAGUGGAUCUUUUUUGUUGUUCAUAAUUUGUCGAUUGUGUGCAUUUAGGAUAGAUUUCAUGUUCGGCAUACAGCUAUAACUUACUUUUAUGGUGUUUCUGUUGAAGAUUUUGUGGAACUUGUGAUUUAUUGGGAAGUGUUUGUUGACUAAAGUUAAGAAGCUUUUUCCUAUGUUAGUGCUUACAUUUUUGCUGAAAGGUGGGUUAAACCAAAUGAUGUUGCGUUUACGGUUUUUUGUAUAAGGUGAAUUUAAAUUAGGGUGGUAUGAAAGUUUAUGAUUAAAACCCGACUUUAACAGUGCGUCAUUGUAUGCAGGAGUAGAUCUUUGGAAAAUUUCUUCACUUGAGGAAUUUGCAGACAAUCUUAACUCAAUUGAAUGCGGAAGCUGUUUUAAAAUAUUUGGCGGGUGGUUUGAAUCAGUGUGAAUAUAAUUUAAAGAAUUUCCGGGCUUAGAAUAUGGUUGGAAAGUAUGGUCAUUUAGAUUUAAUGUGACGUCGAG